UACAGAGGUCUCAACCGUUGUUCGGAUUCAUUGGGCGUAAAGGGUGCGUAGGCGGUCGCGCAAGUCGGAUGUGAAAUCUCGAGGCUCAACCUCGAAACUGCAUUCGAUACUGCGUGGCUAGAGUGCUGGAGGGGAGACUGGAAUUUACGGUGUAGCAGUGAAAUGCGUAGAUAUCGUAAGGAAGACCAGUGGCGAAGGCGAGUCUCUGGACAGCAACUGACGCUGAGGCACGAAGGCCAGGGGAGCAAACGGG
rnacentral:rRNA from 1 species